AACGAACGCUGGCGGCAUGCCUAACACAUGCAAGUCGAACGAGAUCUUCGGGUCUAGUGGCGCACGGGUGCGUAACGCGUGGGAAUCUGCCCUUUGGUUCGGAAUAACAGUUGGAAACGACUGCUAAUACCGGAUGAUGACGAAAGUCCAAAGAUUUAUCGCCAGAGGAUGAGCCCGCGUAGGAUUAGCUAGUUGGUGUGGUAAAGGCGCACCAAGGCGACGAUCCUUAGCUGGUCUGAGAGGAUGAUCAGCCACACUGGGACUGAGACACGGCCCAGACUCCUACGGGAGGCAGCAGUGGGGAAUAUUGGACAAUGGGCGAAAGCCUGAUCCAGCAACGCCGCGUGAGUGAUGAAGGCCUUAGGGUUGUAAGGCUCUUUUACCCGGGAUGAUAAUGACAGUACCGGGAGAAUAAGCUCCGGCUAACUCCGUGCCAGCCGCCGCAGUAA
rnacentral:rRNA from 1 species